rnacentral:tRNA from 1 species
CAAGUUAGAGCUUGUUAAGCAUUUUAGUUACAUUAAAAAGAAAAUUGAUUAUCAAUUUAACUUGA